CCACGCGCGGGGAGGCGGUGCUUCGACGAGCAGCGCGCGGACAGGGGGUCCGCGGCAGGCCGCGUGUCAGGGAGGCGGAGCCUCGCCAGGCCGUGUGCCAGGGGAGCUGGGCCUCCGCAGGGCCUGUGCUGGGGGGGCGGGGCCUCGGCAGGCCGCGGGCUGACGGGGGGGGGGGGGUCCUCGGCAGGCCGCGGGAGGCGGGGGCACACGGCUCACACCCAAUCCCAGGCACAGCCGAGUUCACAGUCCGCUGCCAUCUUGAAUCGCGGUGUUGCUCUUAGUUUCCUCAGGAACCGUUUUUUAACGGCUGGCGCAGCUGCUUCCCUAACUGGGGUCUGCAGUGCAGGCGUGGUGUCUCUGCACUGCGCCCUGCAAGCAACUGAAACCCGGCCAAGCACAAAGGAAAAGAAAAGCUCCCUCCCAUCAUCAACUCAAGACCUAAGAUACCGGAAAAGCAUCUCUUCUCUCCUCCUUUUUCUUCCUCUGGCUGGUCCUGACCAGAGGGCCCUAGUGAGAGCGGCUCCUGAUAAUGUCAGGAUCUUCUUCGGAACCUGCAGCAUAAUUCAUUUUCCCCGGAAUGGAUGUGGAGCCUCCCCGUACUUCCAAAUUGGGCUGCACCAACUCUGAGACUUCUGUGUUCCAUUUUCUCAACGCUCCAAUGAAUUGUCAAGACAAAGCUUUGUGUCAAGAUAGAGAAGCGUCUUUUCCCAGGCCUGCAUUUCUGGCUGGGAAACAGGAGCCCAAAUCCUAAAUGUGUCUAUUUGGUCAGCUUACAGUCCAAACAGCGAUUUUGGAAAUGCGGAGUUUUCAGAGCCUGAUGCCUCUCCUGCAGUUUAAAUCUGCACGGUUGUCACCAGUUACAGACUAUGGCAGAUGGCUUGCAGUGUUUAGAGGAGGACAAUGGACAAGGAGUCAAAGAGAGAAAAGAGCAGCACAUGUCCUGGUUCAACUCCUCCAAGUUGCCAUUAAAAGUGCAUAAUUUCACCAGACUCUAGCCUCAAACAUCCAUGGUCAAUUAAAAGCUGUCUCCGGUCAAUGGGUUGUGACACAGAGUUUCUAUGUUCUAGGGACACCUUCUACCCUUUAGACAGACUGCCUUUCGCCCUGAAAAAUGGCAUCCAAAGCCCCACUGUCAGCUAACAAGUGUGUAACUUGCAUUGGUGGCACCUUCAGGUUUCAUGGCAUUUCCUGUCUCUCCACCAUGUAUAGGCUGUGCGUUAAAACUUCCGAAAUCCCCUUUUCUAUUCUCAAGGGUUCCCACACCCCAGGUGACGAUGGAAUCCACAAUUAUAAUAAGCAACUUCCAAACAAAACUAAGGGCCCUGCUUUCCUUACAACCAUUGCUCUUUUCCCUAUACUUCUUCAAACUGGC
rnacentral:lncRNA from 1 species